rnacentral:rRNA from 1 species
UACGUAGGCAGCAAGCGUUGUUCGGAAUUACUGGGCGUAAAGCGCACGUAGGCGGACCAGCAAGUUAGGGGUGAAAUCCCGGGGCUCAACCUCGGAACUGCAUUCGAUACUGCUUUGCUUGAGUACUGGAGAGGAGAUUGGAAUUUACGGUGUAGCAGUGAAAUGCGUAGAUAUCGUAAGGAAGACCAGUGGCGAAGGCGGAUCUCUGGACAGUUACUGACACUGAGGCACGAAGGCCAGGGGAGCAAACGGG